AGAGCACUGACCUGUUCUGGAGGACUUCUGACAGGAGGUGGAGGUCUGGCUCUGGGUGAGGAGGUGGAGGUCUGGCUCUGGGUGAGGAGGUGGAGGUCUGGCUCUGGGUGAGGAGGCAGACACCUUGGGACAAACUACAUGUUACCUUUUUAACCUUGUACAGUUCUAGAGUUUCUUCUACUGUAACAUGUGGGAAAGACGGCCAUUAUUUUAGCUUUGUUAUUAUCCAGUUGGUAACUAAGCACCAAAGUCGUUGUUUAACGUCAUUCCAUUGGGUAGGGUUUUACUUCAAUUAUUGACACCAGAUAUUUAGAACGUAUGAAAGCUGAAGUAACAAAGAACACUAAGCAGUAUCGAUAUUAAAUCAAAUAUACUCAGCCAUAUUCAGGUGCAGGGUUCCGUCGAAGAAAUGCCAAAUUGUCUUCCACCUUGAAAUGAUCUUCAGCCUUCACUGAUGAUCAGAAAUGGGCCCGCAAGUAGAACGCUGUUUCGAACGCAGCGAGAGUCCCGUGAACGUGGUUAAAGUCGGCGCAACAGUCGGAAAUUAUCAACAUAUUGUACGAUGCACGCGUCAGUGAGUAUUUAAUAUCAAAC
ensembl:lncRNA